GAAUAAUCCGCGAUAGAUCAUAGUUCCUGGAAUGGUUUAUGGUCGAAAUGAUUCGUCGCCAUAGGAUGGGACUGCGGCCUAUCAGCUUGUUGGUGAGGUAAUGGCUCACCAAGGCUAUUACAGGUACGGGCUCUGAGAGGAGAAGCCCGGAGAUGGGUACUGAGACACGGACCCAGGCCCUAUGGGGCGCAGCAGGCGAGAAACCUUUGCAAUGUGCGCAAGCACGACAAGGUUAAUCCGAGUGUUUCCUGCUAAAGGAAUCUUUUGUUAGUUCUAAAACCACUGAUGAAUAAGAGGUGGGCAAGUUCUGGUGUCAGCCGCCGCGGUAAAACCAGCACCUCAAGUGGUCAGGAGGAUUAUUGGGCCUAAAGCAUCCGUAGCCGGUUCUGUAAGUUUUCGGUUAAAUCCACUAGCUCAACUAAUGGGCUGCCGAAAAUACUGCAGAACUAGGGAGUGGGAGAGGUAGACGGUACUCGGUAGGAAGGGGUAAAAUCCUUUGAUCUAUUGAUGACCACCUGUGGCGAAGGCGGUCUACCAGAACACGUUCGACGGUGAGGGAUGAAAGCUGGGGGAGCAAACCGGAUUAGAUACCCGGGUAGUCCCAGCUGUAAACGAUGCAGACUCGGUGAUGCACUGGCUUGUGGCCAGUGCAGUGCCGCAGGGAAGCCGUUAAGUUUGCCGCCUGGGAAGUACGUACGCAAGUAUGAAACUUAAAGGAAUUGGCGGGGGAGCAC
rnacentral:rRNA from 1 species